rnacentral:rRNA from 1 species
AUUGAACGCUGGCGGCAGGCCUAACACAUGCAAGUCGAGCGGAGCGGCGGACGGGUGAGUAAUGCCUAGGAAUCUGCCUGGUAGUGGGGGAUAACGUCCGGAAACGGGCGCUAAUACCGCAUACUAUCAGAUGAGCCUAGGUCGGAUUAGCUAGUUGGUGGGGUAAAGGCCUACCAAGGCGACGAUCCGUAACUGGUCUGAGAGGAUGAUCAGUCACACUGGAACGGAGACACGGUCCAGACUCCGACGGGAGGCAGCAUUGGGGAAGAUUUGAAAAUGGUCGAAAGCCUGACCCAGCCAUGCCGCGUGUAUGAAGAAGGCCUUCGGGUUGUAAAGUACUUGCAGCGGGGAGGCGUUACCCGCAGAAGAAGCUCCGGCUAACUCCGUGCCAGCAGCCGCGGUAAUUC